rnacentral:lncRNA from 1 species
CUUCAUUAUUCUUUUGCCUUUCUUGAGCCAUUUACAAUUUUCUUCUUUGUGAAGCUGACAAUUUGCUCCAUUUUGUGUAUUCCUCCUGUUUGUUCUGAUAAGUGUUGUCCCUAGACCACAAGCAUGCUAGUGGUUGUGGUAGGGAAAGUGUGUUUAAAUUCCUUUUGUAGCAAUAGGGGAGAUUUCUCCCCAGUUAAUGAGGCUCUUGGCCAGGUUCUCUAUGUACCAUACUGCACACAGAAUCUUUUGCAGUUAGAUCCUUAAUAAAUGCCAUUUGAAAAGGCAAAAUGUCUUUCUCAAGUCAGACCCUUAGUAAGCAGUGAGACCCUUUCUACAAAGAACACAUUUUCAUCCAAGUAUUUCCUUCAAGGGAAAUAGUUACUUUUGAUUCUGGGAAGCAAUUUGUGUAGCAAGAGAGGGGAACCAAAGAAGGAGAUAGCACUGAAAUCUAGUUCCCACUGGAAGCCACCAUCCUCACCCAAAACACACACAUACACACAGAGCCUGGCUAUUCUUCUGCUAAUGGGAUUGGCACCGUUUAAAGCAGUCUGCGAGGGCAUUGUCUGCAACCACAGCAAGAGAAACAUUAUUCAAAGGCCAUUCAGAUCCGAAAAGAAGCGGCCCGAGCAGAAGGCUGCUUUUAGAGAAACUGACAGUAAAGCCAGAAGUUACCAUAUUGCAAACUGA